rnacentral:rRNA from 1 species
UACUGUGAGCUCGAUGAGUAGGGCGGGACACGUGGUAUCCUGUCUGAAUAUGGGGGGACCAUCCUCCAAGGCUAAAUACUCCUGACUGACCGAUAGUGAACCAGUACCGUGAGGGAAAGGCGAAAAGAACCCCGGCGAGGGGAGUGAAAAAGAACCUGAAACCGUGUACGUACAAGCAGUGGGAGCACGCUUAGGCGUGUGACUGCGUACCUUUUGUAUAAUGGGUCAGCGACUUAUAUUCUGUAGCAAGGUUAACCGAAUAGGGGAGCCGAAGGGAAACCGAGUCUUAACUGGGCGUUAAGUUGCAGGGUAUAGACCCGAAACCCGGUGAUCUAGCCAUGGGCAGGUUGAAGGUUGGGUAACACUAACUGGAGGACCGAACCGACUAAUGUUGAAAAAUUAGCGGAUGACUUGUGGCUGGGGGUGAAAGGCCAAUCAAACCGGGAGAUAGCUGGUUCUCCCCGAAAGCUAUUUAGGUAGCGCCUCGUGAAUUCAUCUCCGGGGGUAGAGCACUGUUUCGGCAAGGGGGUCAUCCCGACUUACCAACCCGAUGCAAACUGCGAAUACCGGAGAAUGUUAUCACGGGAGACACACGGCGGGUGCUAACGUCCGUCGUGAAGAGGGAAACAACCCAGACCGCCAGCUAAGGUCCCAAAGUCAUGGUUAAGUGGGAAACGAUGUGGGAAGGCCCAGACAGCCAGGAUGUUGGCUUAGAAGCAGCCAUCAUUUAAAGAAAGCGUAAUAGCUCACUGGUCGAGUCGGCCUGCGCGGAAGAUGUAACGGGGCUAAACCAUGCACCGAAGCUGCGGCAGCGACGCUUAUGCGUUGUUGGGUAGGGGAGCGUUCUGUAAGCCUGCGAAGGUGUGCUGUGAGGCAUGCUGGAGGUAUCAGAAGUGCGAAUGCUGACAUAAGUAACGAUAAAGCGGGUGAAAAGCCCGCUCGCCGGAAGACCAAGGGUUCCUGUCCAACGUUAAUCGGGGCAGGGUGAGUCGACCCCUAAGGCGAGGCCGAAAGGCGUAGUCGAUGGGAAACAGGUUAAUAUUCCUGUACUUGGUGUUACUGCGAAGGGGGGACGGAGAAGGCUAUGUUGGCCGGGCGACGGUUGUCCCGGUUUAAGCGUGUAGGCUGGUUUUCCAGGCAAAUCCGGAAAAUCAAGGCUGAGGCGUGAUGACGAGGCACUACGGUGCUGAAGCAACAAAUGCCAUGCUUCCAGGAAAAGCCUCUAAGCAUCAGGUAACAUCAAAUCGUACCCCAAACCGACACAGGUGGUCAGGUAGAGAAUACCAAGGCGCUUGAGAGAACUCGGGUGAAGGAACUAGGCAAAAUGGUGCCGUAACUUCGGGAGAAGGCACGCUGAUAUGUAGGUGAAGCGACUUGCUCGUGGAGCUGAAAUCAGUCGAAGAUACCAGCUGGCUGCAACUGUUUAUUAAAAACACAGCACUGUGCAAACACGAAAGUGGACGUAUACGGUGUGACGCCUGCCCGGUGCCGGAAGGUUAAUUGAUGGGGUCAGCGCAAGCGAAGCUCUUGAUCGAAGCCCCGGUAAACGGCGGCCGUAACUAUAACGGUCCUAAGGUAGCGAAAUUCCUUGUCGGGUAAGUUCCGACCUGCACGAAUGGCGUAAUGAUGGCCAGGCUGUCUCCACCCGAGACUCAGUGAAAUUGAACUCGCUGUGAAGAUGCAGUGUACCCGCGGCAAGACGGAAAGACCCCGUGAACCUUUACUAUAGCUUGACACUGAACAUUGAGCCUUGAUGUGUAGGAUAGGUGGGAGGCUUUGAAGUGUGGACGCCAGUCUGCAUGGAGCCGACCUUGAAAUACCACCCUUUAAUGUUUGAUGUUCUAACGUUGACCCGUAAUCCGGGUUGCGGACAGUGUCUGGUGGGUAGUUUGACUGGGGCGGUCUCCUCCUAAAGAGUAACGGAGGAGCACGAAGGUUGGCUAAUCCUGGUCGGACAUCAGGAGGUUAGUGCAAUGGCAUAAGCCAGCUUGACUGCGAGCGUGACGGCGCGAGCAGGUGCGAAAGCAGGUCAUAGUGAUCCGGUGGUUCUGAAUGGAAGGGCCAUCGCUCAACGGAUAAAAGGUACUCCGGGGAUAACAGGCUGAUACCGCCCAAGAGUUCAUAUCGACGGCGGUGUUUGGCACCUCGAUGUCGGCUCAUCACAUCCUGGGGCUGAAGUAGGUCCCAAGGGUAUGGCUGUUCGCCAUUUAAAGUGGUACGCGAGCUGGGUUUAGAACGUCGUGAGACAGUUCGGUCCCUAUCUGCCGUGGGCGCUGGAGAACUGAGGGGGGCUGCUCCUAGUACGAGAGGACCGGAGUGGACGCAUCACUGGUGUUCGGGUUGUCAUGCCAAUGGCACUGCCCGGUAGCUAAAUGCGGAAGAGAUAAGUGCUGAAAGCAUCUAAGCACGAAACUUGCCCCGAGAUGAGUUCUCCCUGACUCCUUGAGAGUCCUGAAGGAACGUUGAAGACGACGACGUUGAU